UAGGGAAUCUUCGGCAAUGGACGAAAGUCUGACCGAGCAACGCCGCGUGAGUGAAGAAGGUUUUCGGAUCGUAAAACUCUGUUGUUAGAGAAGAACAAGGACGUUAGUAACUGAACGUCCCCUGACGGUAUCUAACCAGAAAGCCACGGCUAACUACGUGCCAGCAGCCGCGGUAAUACGUAGGUGGCAAGCGUUGUCCGGAUUUAUUGGGCGUAAAGCGAGCGCAGGCGGUUUCUUAAGUCUGCUGUGAAAGCCCCCGGCUCAACCGGGGAGGGUCAUUGGAAACUGGGAGACUUGAGGGCAGAAGAGGAGAGUGGAAUUCCAUGUGUAGCGGUGAAAUGCGUAGAUAUAUGGAGGAACACCAGUGGCGAAGGCGGCUCUCUGGUCUGUAACUGACGCUGAGGCUCGAAAGCGUGGGGAGCAAACAGG
rnacentral:rRNA from 1 species